CCUACGGGAGGCAGCAGUGAGGAAUAUUGGACAAUGGGCGCAAGCCUGAUCCAGCCAUGCCGCGUGCAGGAAGAAGCAUCUAUGGUGUGUAAACUGCUUUUGUACGGGAAGAAACACUCCUUCGUGAAGGAGCUUGACGGUACCGUAAGAAUAAGGAUCGGCUAGCUCCGUGCCAGCAGCCGCGGUAAUACGGAGGAUCCAAGCGUUAUCCGGAAUCAUUGGGUUUAAAGGGUCCGUAGGCGGUUUAAUAAGUCAGUGGUGAAAUCUGGUCGCUUAACGAUCAAACGGCCAUUGAUACUGUUAGACUUGAAUUAUUUGGAAGUAACUAGAAUAUGUAGUGUAGCGGUGAAAUGCUUAGAUAUUACAUGGAAUACCAAUUGCGAAGGCAGGUUACUACAAAUGGAUUGACGCUGAUGGACGAAAGCGUGGGGAGCGAACAGGAUUAGAUACCCUGGUAGUCCACGCCGUAAACGAUGGAUACUAGCUGUUGGGAGUAAUCUCAGUGNGAGAGAAGAGAGUAGUAGUCCACCGCGGAGGUACGUAACGACGAGUUAGUUAACGUACGUUAAUUAGUAAGUUAGUUACGGCGUGAGACGNGCCGACGGACGACGACGAGGGAGGAGG
rnacentral:rRNA from 1 species